CGCGUGUACUGGUCCGGCCGGGCCUUUCCCUCUGUGGAACCCCAUGCCCUUCACUGGGUGUGGCGGGGAAACAAGACUUUUACUGUGAAAAAAUUGGAGUGCUCCAGGCAGGCCUAUGCUCCAAUACAUUAGCAUGGAAUAAUAGAAUAGGACGUGUGGUUCUCUUUUGUUGGUUUCUAGAGACCGCCGUAAUGAUUGAUAGGGACAGUCGGGGGCAUCAUCAUUCUGUUGUCAUAGGUGAAAUUCUUGGAUUUAUUGAAGACAAACUACUGCGAAAGCAUUUGCCAAGGAUGUUUUCAUUAAUCAGGAACGAAAGUUAGGGGAUCGAAGAAGAUCAGCACCGUUGUAGUCUUAACCAUAAACUAUGCGGACUAGGGAUGUGGUGGUGUUAUAUUUUGACCCGUUCGGCACCUUAGGAGAAAUCAAAGUGCUUGGGCUCCAGGGGGAGUAUGGUCGCAAGGCUGAAACUUAAAGAAAUUGGAAGAAGGGCACCACCAGGGGUGGAGCCUGCGGCUUAAUUUGACUCAACACGGGGAAACUCACCAGGUCCAGACACAAUGAGGAUUGACAGAGAAGAGCUCUUUCUUGAUUUUGUGGGUGGUGGUGCAUGGCCGUUAGUAGUUGGUGGAGUGAGUUGUGUGCUUAAUUGCGAUAACGAACGAGACAGCCACCUGCUAAAUAGCCCGUAGGGCCCGGCAGUACCCAGGCUUUUUAGAGGGACAAUCGG
rnacentral:rRNA from 1 species